UCCUUAUCGUAGGAAUCUAUUUAGCCAUGGAGGAGAGAAGGGGAGAGAAGAGAGAGAAGAACCCACGCAGUCACAAAGAGGAGGUUGGGGAUUGGGAGAAGAACCGCAAGGAAACAGCGGGAGGGGGAAUCGCUCGAAGAAUGCCGUAUCUAUUCCCAGGUAAUCCGAAAAAGGUGAUCUUGCGUAAAUUUCCAACGAUCCGAUCGAUAUAGCCCGAUUGCUGAAAAUUCGAUCGGAGUUGGGGCUCGUCGGCGCCUGAUCGCGGCAUUGUGGCUGAUUUCUGGUCCACCGCCUCGAUCCAGAUCCGUGGACGGGACUGUGAUCUGAUCUAUUGGUUUGGUUCAUCCCAGGUUCCUUGUUGCUUGUUCAGGCUCCACGUUGUGCUUCAUCUCCAAUCGGCAGCGGCGGCAUCCGUACUAUUGAUGUGUGUGAAUCAGAAAUCUCAAUGCAGGUUUUAGGUUUAACCUUCUCGUGUUGAUUAAUGGGAUUGAUUUUUAUUGGAACAAUUUCUGGAGUUUUGGGGGACUGGAAGUAAGAAACUGAAAGCGAUCAUCGUAGCAUCUGAAUAAACAUAUUUUGGAAGUAAGAGCAAGUUCGUUUACAUUGAGUGAAGCAACCAUAUUGAGAUGGGUUUUCCUCAAGUUCCUGCAAUCAAGGAGGGCACACCUACUACAUUGAGUGAACCUGUCAUUAGUUCUCGUUUCAGUGGCAGUGGCGUCUGUGAUUUGGAUAAACUUCCAGCUGGAACCUCAAGAAGCAGGGUGCUUCCAUGCUCAUCCAUCUGUGAUAUUAAGAGAAAAGCUGCAUUGGAUGCUUUGAAUGGAUUUGAUAGCCAUUUCAGAAACAGUCAUGCCAUUGAUGGUCCUGCAGUUUUCCAAGGUCUUAGUCCUGAUUCGAGAGAUCCUAGUUGUAGAUCAUGCCCUAAAUUCGGACCUAAUGUCCAUAUACCUGCAAUGAGGAUCGUUGGAUUUGAUCCAGGUUUUGCUAGUUCCGUCAGAGGUUCUGAUAUGAUGGUAGUUGACAAGAUGCAUUCAUCUUUAGUCAUUGAUAACUGUGAUUCAUCAGUUGAACAGCAUGGACCUCAGGCAAGAAAAAGGGUGUUGUCACCAUUGAAAAGUUUGCUUCCUGCUGGACAGUUUCAUGGUGAUGCGCUGAAUAUUGGUUCCAGUGAUGCCGAAAAUCAGCACAAUCAUUGUGUUAGGCAGGUCUUUUCUUCUGAUUUGCAUGACAGUAAAAAGGCCAACACUGGAACUUUUGGUUCCUUUGAGUUGCCUACUUGGCCAGCAUUGAGAUACUUCAGUCGGAAUACAGAGCAGGGUGUCAGUAAGUUCAGCUCUAAUAUAUUCACCGAUGGCCCUUUCCUUGAGGGCAGGGAAUCCUUUUCUUGCUCAGAUAACCUAGGGGCUGAAGAAAUUAUGAAUCUUGCAAGGGUUUCUAUACCGCCUGCAAGAUUAUCACAUUCUCCUCCACUUACUUUGUCUCCUCUUGGUCCAAAAUGGAUGCAUGGAAUGAAGACUGCAAGGGCUCAUGGGGAUUUAAUAGGAGAAACUGAAAAUGGUUUCCCGGACUUGAAGGAAAUGGAAAGAUCAAAUGGUGAAGAUUAUUCAGAAUGUGGUGGGAGAAUAAGGAUGAGUCAUAUGUUAGAAAAAACUACUAUUUUUCAUGAUGUAUUUGAUACAAUGACCCCUAAGAGGAGUUUAGAUAGAAGAUAUCAAAAUUGGGGCCCAGAAUCUGCCCCUGUAUCUCCACGCAAUGGAUGUAUCAGGAGUUUGAGCCUUCUUCCUUUAAGGAGGUCACUAGUUGGCUCCUUUGAGGAGUCCCUCUUAUCUGGUCGAUAUUCAUGUGGAAAAGACAACCAGAUUAUUGACGGUUUUCUGGCUAUCCUUAAUGUGACUGGUGGUAACUUCUCUCCUCCAACUCAGAAGCUUCCAUUUACAGUAGCCAACAUUGAUGAAGAUAGCUCUUUGUUGUACUAUUCAUCGAUUGAUCUUGCUGGGAGGUUGCCUACAAACAAUAGCAAAAGCCCUAAACUCAAAAGAAGCCUCAAUAAUAAUGAUUCGCGGUCAGCGAAAAGUCGGUUACGCAUCCCUGUUAAAGGUCGCAUACAACUGGUGGUUAGUAACCCAGAGAAGACACCACUCCACACCUUCUUCUGUAGCUAUGAUUUGAGUGACAUGCCUGCUGGAACCAAGACUUUCAUGCGGCAAAAGAUUACUCUAUCCUCUGCUUCUCCCUCUAAUCUGACCAAAGGAAGCAUGGCCAACGACAUAAAGGUCGAGUCAGUUCAAUAUGGAAGUGAGCUUAGAGAACGUGGGACUCUAUUUUCAGAAUGCUGUGAACAGAGGCAGAAUUACUCAACCGAUGAGUCAGAAAAGGGAGGUUAUGCAAAUACGGCCUGUUGCUCAAUGGAAUGUGAUAUCAGAGAAUCAAAUGAAUUUACCACUCUAGGGAAUUCAGAAAAUGACACUAAUGCUGAUGGUUGCUGCUGUCAAAUAGACACAUGUAGAUUUGGUGACAAGAAAUCUUGCUGCAGAUCUUCCAAGGUCAAUGAUAGUUCAGCUGGAGGUGUUCUUCGUUAUGCUUUGCACCUGCGCUUUCUGAGGCCCUUUUCCAAGAAGUCGUCAAGAUCAAAGCAGCAGUGCAAAUCUGAUCUGUCAUCAGAACCUCACAAGCACAAUACUGAGACCGAGGAAGAGAGGAGAUUUUAUCUCUACAAUGAUAUUAGAGUUGUCUUCCCUCAAAGGCACUCAGACUCAGAUGAAGGAGAGGUAUGCGGCAAUUCAGAUACCUCCAGGCCGUCUACUUCUCUCUUCUAACACAGCUUUAGUUUUAAUUCUUUAUGCACAAGUGAGACUGAAUAAUUUCGACCUCUUACAUAGAAAGCACUCAAGGAUCCACAAAACUACUGACUGGGAUUAUAAAAUUAUAGGCUGUUAGCUGCGUGUUGAGCACGACUUCCCUGCAGAUCCCAAGUACUUCGACAUAAGCAACUAAUACCUCCUUGCAAACUCCCAUGUGUAGCUGCACAUGAAUCUGUACAUAUCAUACUAACUUCCUUAAUUGUUUCUUCUUUCUAUUGUCAUUCUCCAGAUGUACAGUACUAACCUUCCAAUGAAAUACCUCAUUUUUCAUUCUA